AGAGUUUGAUCCUGGCUCAGGAUAAAUGCUGGCGACGUGCUUUAUGCAUGCAAGUCGAAUGGCCUAACUUGUUAGGACCAUGGCGGACGGGUGAGUAAUACAUAGGAAUCUACCCUUUGGUGUGGAAUAACCCUCCGAAAGGAGGGGUAAUACCGCAUGAGGUCUACGGAUCAAAGAGCAUAACUGCUCGCCGGAGGAGGAGCCUAUGUCCUAUCAGCUUGUUGGUAAGGUAAAAGCUUACCAAGGCGAUGACGGGUAGGGGCGCUGAGAGGCGGUACCCCCACAAUAGCACUGGGACACGGGCUAUACACCUACGGGUGGCAGCAGCAGGGAAUAUUGCGCAAUGGGCGAAAGCCUGACGCAGCGACGUCGCGUGGAGGACGACGGCCUUAGGGUUGUAAACUUCUAAAUUUUGACAGCUAGUCAAAAGGAUUAAACACCGGCAAACUACGUGCCAGCAGCAGCGGUGAAACGUAGGGUGUUAGUAUUAUCCGGAUUUAUUGGGCGUAAAGAGUAUCGUAGGCGGUAAAGUAAGUAGUGAGUUAAAUCCUUCUGCUUAACGGAAGACCGGCUCAUUAGACUGCUUAACUAGAGAAUGCUAGGGGAUGCUGGAAUUCCUAAUGUAGGGGUGAAAUCCGUAGAUAUUAGGAAGAACGCCGAGGGCGAAGGCAGGCAUCUGGGGCACUUCUGACGCUGAUGAACGAAAGCUAGGGGAGCGAAAGGGAUUAGAGACCCCUGUAGUCCUAGCCGUAAACGAUCCUCGCUAGAUUCUGGUUUCGAUCGGAGUCGUAAGUUAACACGUUAAGCGAGGCGCCUGGGGAGUACGACCGCAAGGUUGAAACUCAAAGGAAUUGACGGGGACCCGCACAACCAGUGGAGCAUGUGGUUUAAUUCGAGACAAAGCGUUGGACCUUACCUGGGCUCGACAUGUUAGCUGCAAGUUCGCCGAAAAGCGGACCUCUUUCGAAGGUGCUAACAAAGUUGCUGCAUGGCUAUCGUCAGCUCGUACCGUGGGGUGUUCUCUUAAGUGAGAUAACGAGCGCAACCCUUGUCCUGUGUUGUAUAUCACAGGAGACUGCUCCCGAAUCUUCGGGGGAGGAAGGAGAGGACGACGUUAAGUCAGCACGGUGCUUAUGUCCAGGGCGACACACAUCCUACAAUCCCUAUAACAACGAGUUGCAAAGCCGCGAGGUGGAGCUAAUCUCUUAAAAAUAGGGUCAGUUCAGAUUGCAGGCUGAAAUUCGCCUGCAUGAAGUUGGAAUUGGUAGUAAUCGCAGAUCAGCAGACUGCGGUGAAUACGUUCUCGGGUCUUGUACACACCGCCCAUCAAGCGAAGAAAGCCGGUAGUACCCGAAUCUUGACUUUGUCGAGAGAAGGUAAGAUCGGUGAUCAGCACUAAGUUGUAACAAGGUA
rnacentral:rRNA from 1 species